GUGGCUGUAGCUCAGUCGGUUAGAGCACCUGGUUGUGGUCCAGGGGGUCGGGGGUUCGAAUCCCCUCAGCCACC
rnacentral:tRNA from 1 species